rnacentral:rRNA from 1 species
CAGCCGCCGCGGUAAUACGUAGGGUGCGAGCGUUAAUCGGAAUUACUGGGCGUAAGGCGUGCGCAGGCGGUUCGUUAAGACAGAUGUGAAAUCCCCGGGCUUAACCUGGGAACUGCAUUUGUGACUGGCGAGCUAGAGUAUGGCAGAGGGGGGUAGAAUUCCACGUGUAGCAGUGAAAUGCGUAGAGAUGUGGAGGAAUACCGAUGGCGAAGGCAGCCCCCUGGGCCAAUACUGACGCUCAUGCACGAAAGCGUGGGGAGCAAACAGGAUUAGAUACCCCAGUAGUCCCUGUCUCUUAUAA